rnacentral:rRNA from 1 species
UACGGAGGGUGCGAGCGUUGUCCGGAAUCACUGGGCGUAAAGGGCGCGUAGGCGGCUCGUCAAGCGUGGGGUGAAAGUCCGGGGCUCAACUCCGGAUCGGCCUUGCGGACUGAGGGGCUCGAGCACUGUAGAGGCAGGUGGAAUUCCGGGUGUAGCGGUGGAAUGCGUAGAGAUCCGGAAGAACACCGGUGGCGAAGGCGGCCUGCUGGGCAGUGGCUGACGCUGAGGCGCGACAGCGUGGGGAGCAAACAGGAUUAGAAACCCCUGUAGUCC